AGGGCACCGCCCACCCACGUGUACGCCGGUCAGUUCCUUCCGACCGAAGCCUCCCCGGAUCUGGGAAGCCAGCAUCGCGUCCCCAGCACCCGGAGGGACUCAGGUGUGUGGGUUGAAUUGUGUCCCUCAAGAAGAGAGAGCACAAGGAGGGGAAGCCGCUAGACCCUGGGAUCAUGACCUGAGCCGAAGGCAGACACUUAACGACUGAACCACCCAGGUGCCCCUUUUCUAGAUGCUUCUGAAAAAUCUACCAGCAUAUCAAACCUCAAAAACGAACUCAUCUUACCCCUAAAACCAGCCCCAUUCCACCUGUCCCUUUUUUUUUUUUUUUUUAGUUUUUUAAAAACCCAAAAUUAAAAUUGUAACAUGUUGAAGCAGAA